GACGAACGCUGGCGGCGUGCUUAACACAAGCAAGUCGAACGGAAAGGCCCUGCUUUUGUGGGGUGCUCGAGUGGCGAACGGGUGAGUAACACGUGAGUAACCUGCCCUUGACUUUGGGAUAACUUCAGGAAACUGGGGCUAAUACCGGAUAGGAGCUCCUGCUGCAUGGUGGGGGUUGGAAAGUUUCGGCGGUUGGGGAUGGACUCGCGGCUUAUCAGCUUGUUGGUGGGGUAGUGGCUUACCAAGGCUUUGACGGGUAGCCGGCCUGAGAGGGUGACCGGCCACAUUGGGACUGAGAUACGGCCCAGACUCCUACGGGAGGCAGCAGUGGGGAAUAUUGCACAAUGGGCGGAAGCCGGAUGCAGCAACGCCGCGUGCGGGAUGACGGCCUUCGGGUUGUAAACCGCUUUCGCCUGUGACGAAGCGUGAGUGACGGUAAUGGGGUAAAGAAGCACCGGCUAACUACGUG
rnacentral:rRNA from 1 species